AGGGGUUUGGAUCAUGGCUCAGGACGAACGUUGGCGGUGCGCUUAAUGCAUGCAAGUCGAGGGAGAACCAUUUGAUUCGUAAGAUUCGAAUGGGGAAACCGGCGAACGGGUGCGUAACACGUGAGGAACCUGCCCUGAAGAUCGGGAUAGCCCGGGGAAACCCGGAUUAAUACCGAAUAUCCUCUCCGGACCGCAUGGUCUGGUGAGGAAAUGGUCCGCCGCUUCAGGAUGGCCUCGCGGCCUAUCAGCUAGUUGGUGAGGUAACGGCUCACCAAGGCUACGACGGGUAGCUGGUCUGAGAGGACGAUCAGCCACACUGGGACUGAGACACGGCCCAGACUCCUACGGGAGGCAGCAGCAGGGAAUAUUGCACAAUGGGCGAAAGCCUGAUGCAGCGACACCGCGUGCGGGAUGAAGGCCUUCGGGUUGUAAACCGCUUUCAGGAGGGACGAAAAUGACGGUACCUCCAGAAGAAGGCCCGGCCAACUACGUGCCAGCAGCCGCGGUAACACGUAGGGGCCAAACGUUGUCCGGAUUUAUUGGGCGUAAAGGGCUCGUAGGCGGUUCAACAAGUCGAUCGUGAAAACCCGGGGCUCAACCCCGGGACGCCGGUCGAAACUGUUGUGACUAGGGUCCGGUAGAGGUGAGUGGAAUUCUCGGUGUAGCGGUGGAAUGCGCAGAUAUCGAGAGGAACACCAGUUGCGAANGCGGCUCACUGGGCCGGUACCGACGCUAAGGAGCGAAAGCAUGGGGAGC
rnacentral:rRNA from 1 species